rnacentral:lncRNA from 1 species
CUGAUUCGGCGUGGCCUUGGCUGCACGAGUCCUUUUGUCCAUCAGCUUACACCAACAGAUGUGGAGACUCACUACAAGAUGGUAUGUUUCGUUAGAUCUGUUUUUUUCUUUGUGUUUUUUUGUAUAAUUUCAUUGCUUUCUGAACUUGUAGUAUUUUAGGAACACACUUUUUUCUUUGUUUUUUGAAGUGUACUGCAAUGUGUUUUUAUUUCUUGUUUUUAUUUUUUUGCUUGUGUGCAUGUAGCUUAUGUUUAUUUUACAUGGUUAUAAUAUGUGAACUGCUUAUAUAUUAGCUGAGCACUACAUAUUUCUACAUUUUUCCCAAUUUGUAUGGUGUGUACUACAUGUAGCUAGUCUCUACUACUGCAUGAUAGUUCGAAGCGUACUGCGUAUUUGCAAGUUCCAUACUGCAUAUUGAAAUGCAUUUUAUAUGUACUACUUGUUGGACUAUUGUGCACUUCAUCUAUCUCUAUGCACAGUAUGAGAAUUGUACUGCUAGUUUCGUUCUCAAACAGUUUUAUUAUUUUUUGCAGAAAAUUCCUCAACGAGCUGUUAGGUAUGUCUGGCUCAAGAAGAAAGGAAUUCUUCAAGUUGUUCUUGGUAAUGGAUACCUUAAACCAGCCAAGUACAGUGUAGGCGUUGAUGGGCGGCUGUGUCUGCACAAAGGGUGGA